rnacentral:rRNA from 1 species
UACGGGGGGAGCAAGCGUUGUUCGGAUUUACUGGGCGUAAAGGGCGCGUAGGCGGCGCAACAAGUCACUUGUGAAAUCUCCGGGCUUAACUCGGAGCGGCCAAGUGAUACUGUCGUGCUAGAGUGCGGAAGGGGCUACUGGAAUUCUCGGUGUAGCGGUGAAAUGCGUAGAUAUCGAGAGAAACACCUGCGGCGAAGGCGGGUAGCUGGGCCGACACUGACGCUGAGGCGCGAAAGCUAGGGGGAGCGAACGGG